rnacentral:rRNA from 1 species
AGCGAACGCUAGCGGCAGGCUUAACACAUGCAAGUCGAACGAAGUUCUUCGGAACUUAGUGGCGAACGGGUGAGUAACACGUAGGUAAUGUACCCUUUGGUGGAGGAUAACUCAGGGAAACCUGAGCUAAUACUGCAUAUGUCCUUCGGGAUAAAAGUCUUCGGACGCCUUAGGAGCAGCCUGCGGCCCAUUAUCUAAUCCUAGUUGGUAGGGUAACGGCCUACCAAGGGUACGAUGGGUAGCUGGUCUGAGAGGAUGAUCAGCCACACUGGGACUGAGACACGGCCCAGACUCCUACGGGAGGCAGCAGUGGGGAAUAUUGCGCAAUGGGGGAAACCCUGACGCAGCCAUGCCGCGUGUGUGAUGAAGGCCCUCGGGUCGUAAAGCACUGUCGGGAGGGACGAAGAUCUGACGGUACCUCACAAGAAAGCACCGGCUAACUCCGUGCCAGCAGCCGCGGUAAUGUCACAUG